rnacentral:lncRNA from 1 species
GCAUGCACGUGCGCAGCAAGAAACUUGACCGCCGUCGACGAUGGUCAGCCUCACGUGUGUGCGUGCGACUGGGGCCUUGUUUAGUUUGAAAUUUUUUUUGUUUUCGGUAUUGAAGUAAUUUCGUUUUUAUUUAGCAAUUAUUGUUUAAUUAUGAACUAACUAGAUUCAAAAGAUUCAUUUCGUGAUUUACAGGCUAUGCAGUUAGUUUUUAUUUUCGUCUAUAUUUAGCGCUUCAUGCAUGUGCCCUAAGAUUCGAUAUGACGGAGAAUUUUGAAUUUUUUUUGUUUUUGGGUGAACUAAACAAGAGCUAGGAAAAUCUUUUACCAGUCUGGGUGAAUUGGAUUAUUGGAAGAUUGUUAACGUGUAUAUCACGCAUACGUCUUUUCUUGGUUUGGAGGCAAGUGUGGGAAGUUUGGAUAGUUUCUCCUAAGGAUGGUAAUCUUUUACCCGUGAAUGCGGGUACCCGUGGUUUUCAUGCCCGAUGGGUAGUAUGGGUAUAAAGGUACAUGAAGGUCAGGUAUCCGCUCGGGUAUCAAAUUUUGUUCAUGGGUAUCUAAUGGGUGCCCGUAAUAUGAGAAUAUAUAUGAAUAUAUGUCAUCUACGUUUUAUGUAUAUCAUGUCGACUAUCUUGUUUAACAUGUUGAACUAUUAAAUAUAAUAUUCUUAUGGAUGACUGAAUAAAGUGGCUGUGUGACCUAUUAGCUUGUUAUUCUAGUUCUUGUGAAAGUUGUUUUGUGUUACUAGUAAAAAUGCCCGUGUGUUGCCACAGGUGUUUUUCUAUUUUUUGUUGUGUAAACAUAAUUAGAAUUAUUAGAGGU